AUCCAACCAUGUCUCAGUAAAACAUAAGACACUCACCUCUGAUUUGCAAACCAACAGGCGUAUCUCAUCGAUCUUAGGUAGUAGGCUUCGGACGUUUAAGUACACAAAAGGUAAGCCCUUCUUCCCAAAGGCCUCAUUGAAUUCCCGAUCCACUUGUAACUCGCCUCUCACUGCACUGCCUCCGGUGGCCUCUCUGUCGCCAUGGAGCACCCGUCCCCAGGUGCUACUCCAUCGUCCUCACCACCGCCUCUGGUGGCCUCCGCUCCGCUGUGGACCCCCCUUCCUCCAGUGCACUCUCCAACCUCGAUAAGUCCUCUGGUCCCACUCCACCUUCAAUGCUCACACACAGCAACGAUGACCUGAGCCAACUGUGCCACUUCUGUGGGGAGGUGGACAAUAAUGAGGAAAACACUAACUCGAUUGGCUGUGACCGCUGCCCACGAUGGUUCCACCAGUCCUGUAUGAAAACCAUCCCAUCAUUGGAGGAUUAUGUCUGCGCUGCCUGUCAGGACUAGGUUAGGCUUGAGUUCCAGGCGAUGAUAUCACCUGGAAAACUUUCCAUAAAAAGUGGACUAAAUGUUCAGUCGAGCUGCUGCAGCUUUCCAAUAUUUGUUUGUUAUUUAUUGUCUUUUUAUAUCUUAUAAUGCAAAGAUCAAAAUGUGUAUUUCUUAUUUAAUGUUUGUUAACAAACUUAACUUUCUGUGAUGUUUUUG
rnacentral:lncRNA from 1 species